UCGGGCCCCUCUACAUACCAGCCGCCAUCCGCCCACCUUUUCCUACAGGCAGAAAAUUGGAGUCUUGAUGCCAAAAAUCCGGGCCUUGCGUACCCCUGAAUGUUGAAGAGUUGAGACAUUCAAGCGGCAAGUGCAAUCACCCUUUCAGGUUCUUAUCGCCGAGAUCUUGCCGCGAGGUGAUUUCUACUCCUUCUUAAAGCCUGAGUCAUGUAUCAUCCCGGUCCAUAGACCAUAAGCGAACAAUAACUUUUAUGAGAAAAAGUUACAUGUAAUCACCAU
rnacentral:sRNA from 1 species